rnacentral:rRNA from 1 species
CAGUAGCCACGGUAAUACAGAGGGUGCAAGCGUUAAUCGGAAUUACUGGGCGUAAAGCGCGCGUAGGUGGUUUGUUAAGUUGGAUGUGAAAGCCCCGGGCUCAACCUGGGAACUGCAUCCAAAACUGGCAAGCUAGAGUACGGUAGAGGGUGGUGGAAUUUCCUGUGUAGCGGUGAAAUGCGUAGAUAUAGGAAGGAACACCAGUGGCGAAGGCGACCACCUGGACUGAUACUGACACUGAGGUGCGAAAGCGUGGGGAGCAAACAGGAUUAGAUACCCGUGUAGUCCCUGUCUCUUAUAC